GAUGAACGCUGGCGGCGUGCCUAAUACAUGCAAGUCGGGCGAACGGACGAGAAGCUUGCUUCUCUGAUGUUAGCGGCGGACGGGUGAGUAACACGUGGAUAACCUACCUAUAAGACUGGGAUAACUUCGGGAAACCGGAGCUAAUACCGGAUAAUAUUUUGAACCGCAUGGUUCAAAAGUGAAAGACGGUCUUGCUGUCACUUAUAGAUGGAUCCGCGCUGCAUUAGCUAGUUGGUAAGGUAACGGCUUACCAAGGCAACGAUGCAUAGCCGACCUGAGAGGGGGAUCGGCCACACUGGAACUGAGACACGGUCCAGACUCCUACGGGAGGCAGCAGUAGGGAAUCUUCCGCAGUGGGCGAAAGCCUGGCGGAGCAACGCCGCGUGAGCGAUGAAGGUGUUCGGAUCGUAAAACUCUGUUAUUAGGGAAGAACAUAUGUGUAAGUAACUGUGCACAUCUUGACGGUACCUAAUCAGAAAGCCACGGCUAACUACGUG
rnacentral:rRNA from 1 species